rnacentral:rRNA from 1 species
CAGCAGCCGCGGGAAUACAGAGGGUGCGAGCGUUAAUCGGAUUUACUGGGCGUAAAGCGUGCGUAGGCGGCUUUUUAAGUCGGAUGUGAAAUCCCUGAGCUUAACUUAGGAAUUGCAUUCGAUACUGGGAAGCUAGAGUAUGGGAGAGGAUGGUAGAAUUCCAGGUGUAGCGGUGAAAUGCGUAGAGAUCUGGAGGAAUACCGAUGGCGAAGGCAGCCAUCUGGCCUAAUACUGACGCUGAGGUACGAAAGCAUGGGGAGCAAACAGGAUUAGAUACCCCGGUAGUCCUGUCUCUUAUACA